UGGGGAAUUUUGGACAAUGGGCGCAAGCCUGAUCCAGCAAUGCCGCGUGCAGGAUGAAGGCCUUCGGGUUGUAAACUGCUUCCGUACGGAACGAAACGGCUCUGGUUAAUACCUGGGGCUAAUGACGGUACCGUAAGAAUAAGCACCGGCUAACUACGUGCCAGCAGCCGCGGUAAUACGUAGGGUGCGAGCGUUAAUCGGAAUUACUGGGCGUAAAGCGUGCGCAGGCGGUGAUGUAAGACAGAUGUGAAAUCCCCGGGCUCAACCUGGGACCUGCAUUUGUGACUGCAUCGCUGGAGUGCGGCAGAGGGGGAUGGAAUUCCGCGUGUAGCAGUGAAAUGCGUAGAUAUGCGGAGGAACACCGAUGGCGAAGGCAAUCCCCUGGGCCUGCACUGACGCUCAUGCACGAAAGCGUGGGGAGCAAACA
rnacentral:rRNA from 1 species